CUUUCAUCCAGAAUGAGGGAUGUAACAGGAGAAAUAUCCCAGUAGUGUGGGAAAGCUAAUUAGGGGUUUGUACCCAUGGGAACUAUGGGAUAAAACUUCUAAAAUGUGGUGAUACUGAACAGUUGCUCUGAAUUGAUGUCUCCUUUGGUCUAGAUUCUCCCUAAAGAUAAGCAUGAAGCUUAGAGCCCAGCCACCCUCAAAAAAUUGAUUAAAUUGGACAGAACUCUGCUUUAAAAUCAAACAGAGGUGAAUCCAAAUCUUGCAUACUCCAUCUAUCAUCUUUAUAUGCUUCGAGUGCACUCGUGAAAGCAUCAAGGAAAGCAACAACAACACAGGAGGUGGGAAAGGACCCAACCUUUGCCUGAACAACAGUCACUCUUACAAGGAAAUCAGAAAAUCGUUCUUAAUUCUUUUCUCAUUGGUAACCAGGAUUUUGCCUUUCUCAAGCACUUAGGAGUUCUUCUGCACUGAAUGCUGACACAAUAUCUAGAACUACAGCAGCCAUCUUGAGAUAAAUGAAGGAAACCUAAAAACACCAAGAGACGCAUAAUAAAUGCCAACAGAAAGACAAGAAAAGAUCCCCAGCUGUUCCAGCCAGCUCCUCCUUAUCUCAGGAUAUUUCAUCCCCAGCAUGUUCUUCAGUUAUUCUUGAGAACUACAAGCUAGAAAGAGGGGAGAGCUAGGUAAGUCUAAGACCUGCUAGAGAACUGUCCUUCUAAUAUUAUUUAAGCAACUGAAGUGUAUUUUUACUUUUUAAAUAUUUUAAUCUUGCUGUAUACUUCACAAGUGGAACUAUGUUAAACUAAAAAGACAUCUUCCCAGCAAGGGAAACAAUCAACAGAGUGAAAAGACAACCUGAAGAAUGGGAGAACGUAUUUGCACACUAUUCAU
rnacentral:lncRNA from 1 species